GAUGAACGCUGGCGGCGUGCCUAAUACAUGCAAGUCGAGCGAACAAACGAGGAGCUUGCCCUCCUGACGUUAGCCGCGGACGGGUGAGUCACACGUGGAUCCCCUCCCUAUAACACUGGGAUAACUUCGAGACACCGUAGCUAAUACCAGAUAAUAUAUUGAACCACAUGUUUCAAUAGGGAAAGACUUCUUUCCUGUCUCUUCUCGAUGGAUCUGCGCCGCAUUAGCUAGUUGGGAAGGUAACGGCUUACCACGGCUACGAUGCGAAGCCGAACGGAGGGGGGGAUCGGCGACACUGGAACUGAGACACGGUCCAGAGGACUACGGGAGGGAGCAGAAGGGAAUCGUAGGCAACGGUCGAAAGUCUUACGGAGCGGCGCCGAGUGAGAGAUGAAGGCCUUCGGUGCGUAAAAACCGGCUAUUAGGGAAGAACAAAUGUCUACGGAGAAAUGGACGUAGUGACGGUACCUGAAGAGAAAGCAACGGCUAACUACGUG
rnacentral:rRNA from 1 species